rnacentral:rRNA from 1 species
AACGUACGCUGGCGGCACGCCUAACACAUGCAAGUCGAACGAAGUAGCAAUACUUAGUGGCAGACGGGUGAGUAACAUGUAGGUAUCUGCCCUUUGGCCUGGAAUAAUACGAGGAAACUUGUGCUAAUACCGGAUAAGUCUUUACAGAGAAAGCUUUAUGCACCAUUGGAUGAGCCUGCACUUGAUUAGUUUGUUGGUGGGGUAAUGGCCUACCAAGACUGUGAUCAAUAGCUGAUUUGAGAGGAUGAUCAGCCACAUUGGGACUGAGACACGGCCCAAACUCCUACGGGAGGCAGCAGUGGGGAAUCUUGCACAAUGGAGGAAACUCUGAUGCAGCGAUGCCGCGUGAGUGAAGAAGGCCUUUGGGUUGUAAAGCUCUUUCGUCGGGGAAGAAAAUGACUGUACCCGAAUAAGAAGGUCCGGCUAACUUCGUGCCAGCAGCCGCGGUAAUACGAAGGGACCUAGCGUAGUUCGGAAUUACUGGGCUUAAAGAGUUCGUAGGUGGUUGAAAAAGUUGGUGGUGAAAUCCCAGAGCUUAACUCUGGAACUGCCAUCAAAACUUUUCAGCUAGAGUAUGAUAGAGGAAAGCAGAAUUUCUAGUGUAGAGGUGAAAUUCGUAGAUAUUAGAAAGAAUACCAAUUGCGAAGGCAGCUUUCUGGAUCAUUACUGACACUGAGGAACGAAAGCAUGGGUAGCGAAGAGGAUUAGAUACCCUCGUAGUCCAUGCCGUAAACGAUGUGUGUUAGACGUUGGAAAUUUAUUUUCAGUGUCGCAGCGAAAGCGAUAAACACACCGCCUGGGGAGUACGACCGCAAGGUUAAAACUCAAAUGAAUUGACGGGGACCCGCACAAGUAGUGGAGCAUGUGGUUUAAUUCGAAGAUACGCGCAGAACCUUACCAACACUUGACAUGUUCGUCGCGACUUUAAGAGAUUAGAGUUUUCGGUUCGGCCGGACGAAACACAGGUGCUGCAUGGCUGUCGUCAGCUCGUGUCGUGAGAUGUUGGGUUAAGUCCCGCAACGAGCGCAACCCUCACUUUUAGUUGCCAUCAUUAAGUUGGGCACUCUGAAAGAACUGCCAGUGAUAAGCUGGAGGAAGGUGGGGAUGACGUCAAGUCCUCAUGGCCCUUACGUGUUGGGCUACACACGUGCUACAAUGGUAUCUACAACAGGAAGCAAAACUGCGAGGUUAAGCAAAUCCUUAAAAGAUACCUCAGUUCGGAUUGCACUCUGCAUCUCGAGUGCAUGAAGCUGGAAUUACUAGUAAUCGCGGAUCAGCGCGCCGCGGUGAAUACGUUCCCGGGUCUU